rnacentral:rRNA from 1 species
GGGCCGUGGUAUACUGACCAUGCGAAGGUAGCAUAAUCAUUAGCCCCUCGAUUGGGGGCUGGAAUGAAGGGUCUGACGAGAGGCGGCCUGUCUCCCCCAUUAAACCGAAGUUAAUUUUUAAGUGAAAAAGCUUAAAUGCUCUUGGAGGGCGAUAAGACCCUAUAGAUCUUUACAUUCUACCCUUCCGUUUAUCGGCAAGUAACUAAACUGAAGGAGGCAAUGUUAGGUUGGGGCGACCGCGGGAGAAGAACAAACACCAGCGACCCAUUAACAUUCAUAAAUGAUCGUUGAUCCUUAGAUGAACAUAGAGCAAGUUACCUUAGGGAUAACAGCGUAAUUCUUUUUGAGAGUCCCAAUCGACAAAAGAGUUUGCGACCUCGAUGUUGGUUCAGGGACCCUCCUCGGUGCAGCAGCCUAGCAAGGUAGUCUGUUCGACUAUUAAACCCCUACGUGAUCU